rnacentral:rRNA from 1 species
AUUGAACGCUGGCGGCAGGCCUAACACAUGCAAGUCGAGCGAGAAAGGUCUUCGGACUGAGUACAGCGGCGGACGGGUGAGUAAUGCGCAGGAAUCUACCUGGUAGUGGGGGAUAACUCGGGGAAACUCGAACUAAUACCGCAUACGCCUACGGGGAAAGGCGGGGACCGUUCGGGCCUCGCGCUAUCAGAUGAGCCUGCGUAGGAUUAGCUUGUUGGUGAGGUAAAGGACUCACCAAGGCGACGAUCCUUAGCUGGUCUGAGAGGAUGAUCAGCCACACUGGAACUGAGACACGGUCCAGACUCCUACGGGAGGCAGCAGUGGGGAAUAUUGCGCAAUGGGCGAAAGCCUGACGCAGCCAUGCCGCGUGUGUGAAGAAGGCCCUUGGGUUGUAAAGCACUUUCAAUUGGGAAGAAAGGUUGCGUGUUAAUAGCACGUAGCUGUGACGUUACCUUUAGAAGAAGCACCGGCUAACUCCGUGCCAGCAGCCG